rnacentral:rRNA from 1 species
UACAGAGGGUGCGAGCGUUGUUCGGAAUUAUUGGGCGUAAAGGGCGCGUAGGCGGUGCGGUAAGUCACCUGUGAAAUCUCCUGGCUCAACUGGGAGCUUGCAGGCGAAACUGCCGUGCUGGAGUGUGGGAGAGGUGAGUGGAAUUCCCGGUGUAGCGGUGAAAUGCGUAGAUAUCCGAAGGAACACCGGUGGCGAAAGCGGCGCGCUGGAUCUCUUCUGACGCUGAGGCGCGAAAGCCAGGGGAGCAAACGGG